GCGGCUUCUAAGCCUGCUGCUGCUGCUGCUGCUCCGGCGAAGAAGAAGACUGCUGCAGCUGCUAAGCCCAAAGCGGCGAAGGCAAAGCCCGCUGCAAAGCCGAAACCCAAACCAAAGGCUGCUGCCAAGCCCGCUGCAAAGGCCAAACCUGCUGCAAAGGCCAAGCCUGCUGCUAAGGCAAAACCUGCUGCUAAGGCAAAACCCGCUGCCAAGGCAAAGCCUGCUGCCAAGGCUAAGCCCGCUGUUAAGCCCAAGCCCAAAGCGAUUGUUGCUGCUAAGCCCAAAGCUGCCGCUGCUAAGCCUAAAGCUACUCCUGUGAAGGCAAAGGCGGCU
rnacentral:lncRNA from 1 species